GAUGAACGCUGGCGGCGUGCCUAAUACAUGCAAGUCGAGCGGACGGACGAGAAGCUUGCUUCUCUGAUGUUAGCGGCGGACGGGUGAGUAACACGUGGAUAACCUACCUAUAAGACUGGGCUAACUACGGGAACCCGGAGCUAAUACCGGAUAAUAUUUUGAACCGCAUGGUUCCCAAGUGAAAGACGGUCUUGCUGUCACUUAUAGAUGGAUCCGCGCUGCAUUAGCUAGUUGGUAAGGUAACGGCUUACCAAGGCAACGAUGCAUAGCCGACCUGGGAGGGUGGUCAGCCACCCUGGAACGGAGACACGGUCCAGACUACUACGGUAGGCAGCAGUAGGGUAUCUUCCGCAAUGGGCGAAAGCCUGACGGAGCAAAGCCGCGUGAGUGAUGAAGGUCUUCGGAUCGGAAUACUCUGUUAUUAGUGAAGAACAUAUGUGUAAGUAACUGUGCACAUCUUGACGGUACCUAAUCAGAAAGCCCCGGCUAACUACGUG
rnacentral:rRNA from 1 species